AUUGAACGCUGGCGGCAGGCUUAACACAUGCAAGUCGAGCGGAGAUGAGGUGCUUGCACCUUAUCUUAGCGGCGGCCGGGUGAGUAAUGCUUAGGAAUCUGCCUAUUAGUGGGGGACAACAUUCCGAAAGGAAUGCUAAUACCGCAUACGUCCUACGGGAGAAAGCAGGGGACCUUCGGACCUUGUGCUAAUAGAUGAGCCUAGGUCGGAUGAGCUAGUUGGUGGGGUAAAGGCCUACCAAGGCGACGAUCUGUAGCGGGUCGGAGAGGAUGAUCCGCCACACUGGGACUGAGACACGGCCCAGACUCCUACGGGAGGCAGCAGUGGGGAAUAUUGGACAAUGGGGGGAACCCUGAUCCAGCCAUGCCGCGUGUGUGAAGAAGGCCUUAUGGUUGUAAAGCACUUUAAGCGAGGAGGAGGCUACUGAGACUAAUACUCUUGGAUAGUGGACGUUACUCGCAGAAUAAGCACCGGCUAACUCUGUGCCAGCAGCCGCAGUAAAAC
rnacentral:rRNA from 1 species